GUGUCAGCAGCCGCGGUAAGACGGAGGGGGCUAGCGUUGUUCGGAAUUACUGGGCGUAAAGCGCGCGUAGGCGGAUGUGCAAGUUGGAGGUGAAAGCCCGGGGCUCAACCUCGGAAUUGCCUUCAAAACUGCACAUCUAGAGGCCGGGAGAGGGUAGCGGAAUUCCCAGUGUAGAGGUGAAAUUCGUAGAUAUUGGGAAGAACACCGGUGGCGAAGGCGGCUACCUGGACCGGUCCUGACGCUGAGGUGCGAAUGCGUGGGGAGCAAACAGGAUUAGAUACCCUGGUAGUCCACGCUGUAAAUGAUGCCCACUAGGUGUGGUGGAGGUUAUAACUCUGCCGUGCCGUAGCUAACGCGUUAAGUGGGCCGCCUGGGGAGUACGGCCGCAAGGUUAAAACUUAAAGGAAUUGACGGGG
rnacentral:rRNA from 1 species